ensembl:lncRNA
GUGUAUAUAGUUGAGUAGAUAUGUAUAUAGGUGUAUAUAGUUGAGUAUUGAGUAGAUGUAUAUAGUUGAGAUGUAUAUAGAUGUAUAUAGUUGAGUAGAUGUAUAUAGAUGUAUAUAGUUGAGUAGAUGUAUAUAGGUGUAUAUAGUUGAGAUGUAUAUAGAUGUGUAUAUAGUUGAGAUGUAUAUAGAUGUAUAUAGUUGAGUAGAUGUAUAUAGAUGUAUAUAGUUGAGUAGAUGUAUAUAGGUGUAUAUAGUUGAGAUGUAUAUAGAUGUAUAUAGUUGAGUAGAUGUAUAUAGGUGUAUAUAGUUGAGAUGUAUAUAGAUGUAUAUAGUUGAGUAGAUGUAUAUAGUUGAGUAGAUGUAUAUAGAUGUAUAUAGUUGAGUAGAUGUAUAUAGAUAUAUAUAGUUGAGUAGAUGUAUAUAGGUGUAUCUAGUUGAGUAGAUGUAUAUAGGUGUAUAUAGUUGAAUGCAUGUAUAUACAUGUAUAAAGUUGAAUAGAUGUUAGCGUCGCAUCGUGACUGUGUUGGUCGUUUGUUAGAUAAGUAAAAGUAUUUGUGGAGAGCUUAUCUCAGCGCUAAAUCUUUUUUCUGUUUUUUUUUCCCCUUUGGUAUCAUCAUUUCUGAUCAGGGUGUGAGUCUCUGGAACGAUAAACAGGUCUUCUUCUUUUUUUUUUUUUCUUGUUCAUAUUGGGAAUUGAGAACUUUGCUAAUCUCUUUAUCUGUCUUUCGCCACUACCUGAGAAGGGCGUUACACUCGGUCGCUGUGAGCCCUCAGGUGAACAGGUGUACGUUUUCCCAUUGACUCCCGUUUCCUCAUUUCUACCUUCUGCCAUGUUAACAGGAAUUAAAAAUCAUGCUGUUCCUGUUCUUCAGCUUCUCAGUCACCUGAAUCUCACCUGGGCUGCAUUCCAGUACUGUUGCUAAUCUGCGCGCUCAGACCUGCAGCUCGAU